rnacentral:rRNA from 1 species
UACGAAGGGGCUAGCGUUGUUCGGAUUUACUGGGCGUAAAGCGCACGUAGGCGGAUCUUUAAGUCAGAGGUGAAAUCCCAAGGCUCAACCUUGGAACUGCCUUUGAUACUGGGGAUCUUGAGUCCGGGAGAGGUGAAUGGAACUGCGAGUGUAGAGGUGAAAUUCGUAGAUAUUCGCAAGAACACCAGUGGCGAAGGCGGCUCACUGGCCCGGUACUGACGCUGAGGUGCGAAAGCGUGGGGAGCA